CUAAUCUUACGUUUACAAGCGUGCUACCAGUGGAUAGCUGAGAUUCUUGCGAUUAAAAUGAGUCCAAACACGACGGAAAUCGGUCCAUGUUGAGCGAUUAUUGUUAUACAGGGCGAGUCACGUAAUUCGCUCUCGUCGAAUAAUUUGAAAUCACUUGAUCUUCGACACUUGGGAGCUUCUUUGCGUACAGGAAGAACUCCAUUCACCUUUGAGACUAUGUAUUUAACAAUUUUUCAUAAUAAGCGUAAUUUAACAAUUACCCGCAGCGUGCAUGUCACUAGACUCACCCUGUAGAUUGCCGAUUAUGCGAGAUCGGCUUAAAUUGAUCCGAUUUGCAUCGUGUUUGGGCUCAUUUUAAUCAGAAAAUUCUCAGCUAUCCAUUGGUGCUGCAAUUAUAAAGGUAACGCGACAAUUAUCGACGACAUUUUUUUUUCUUGUACGUUUAUUCGUUGCUUGGAAGGAAAAAUUAACUGUGCACGACAGUAACGUCGUCGAUCAGAUUUAUUACAAACGUUGUGUCUUAAUGCGUCGUUCACAUUCUCGUUGAACACUUCUGUACACUAAACACGCGAUUUUUAUGUUUCAGGGAGCUGCAUCGCUAUAAUUAUCCCGAGUGGUCGCCUUGGACGCGAUACGAGAAGCACACGCGCGGAUAUUUAUCUGUUAUCGAAAAAUAGAAGCAGGCGAAGUUCAACGCGAUCUGUCAUCGCGUGAUUUUAUCGUGAAGUUAAUGUUCCAACGGAUCGACACCGCGGCCAAAUUUCCCAAUAAAUCGGCGUGCCAAGACGAAACGAACACUCGGCUGCAAGUUUGUGCUAUUACAUUAUAGUCCCGAGACGGAGACACAUGAUUUUAUUAACGAAGUUUGUUCCAGAAAUAAGUUUGGAUUAUCGCUGAUUGUGCGGGUUCAGUGGUGCACAAUCUAGAUCUGCAAGAAAGAAACUAUUAUUUUCAAUAAUUUUUGUUUUAAUGUUUGAAUUCGCAUGACGAUGGAAAGCUGAGAUUCUCACGAUUAAAAUGAGUCCAAACACGACGGAAAUAGGACCACGUUUAUCGAAGAGCUGUAUACUGGGUGUACAAAAUAACUUGAUUAAUUUGAACAUUUUACUUGUUUCGGAUAAAAAGAAAAAAUGUCGAUGUUCAUCGAUGUUUUUUUAAUGGUAGUAGAUAGUUUUAUCGUUAUGAACUAAUGAAUGAGUGCAAGAUCUAUCCGGUGUCUUAUAAUACAGUGACUUCCACAUGACACGUUGGAUCAAAGAAAUUUAGAUAACGAUAAUUUUAAGAUCAUAAUCGAUCAUUUUCCAACUUGAACUGCUGUACUUCGACAUUUCUUCGCAUUGUCGUUGAAACAAAUAAGAUAUUCGAAGCGAUCAAGUUAUUUCGUUCACCCUGUAUAUAAUAUAGCUAAAACUACUUCGAUUUCGGUCGUGUUUGGACUCGUUUGAAUCCGAAGAACCUUAGCUAUCCAUUGAUGCUAUAAUUACGAAGGAACAGCCAAGCGUCGAGGCUGUGCAACUGUAUGUGUAGCCAUAAUCUAUUCUUAAUCAACUUUUACAAACUUUUGUUUAAUAGUGUCCAGUAAACUGGUCUCUGCAAAACAAAUUAUUUGGUACAAUCUUAAAGUGAUCGUUCCCCUAUUAUUUUUCGUAAUUUAUUUAAUUUAUUUAUUGAUAAUAUUAUUUACAUGUAAUUGUUGUUCUAGCGUGCUCACGUCUCGAAUCGCAUUUCAGAUGUGUACCAAUCUCCCGGAGUUGUAGACAUCGUUGCUUCUCGUAACGGAAUUUCCUGCCGGAGAUUGAAACGAGCAAUGAUUGUAAAACGAAAUUGGUCCGUCAGAUGUCGCGGUCAAAUCGGCCGCCAGAAAUGUCCAGGAACGUUAUUAUCCCGGGCGGCUCCCACGUUCGCAAGAUUAAAACUUCCCGUCAUGUUACAGCUGGCCGAUAAAAUACUGGUGUCCGGAUUACAGUGACAAGUACUUUUCAGCGUUCGUUCUGGUCCGUUACCUAAUUCGAAAGGAUCCGAGUAUGAAUUUCAACCAGAUGCCCGCGUUACUCGAUCAUUGCUUGUUCAUAAAGUCUGUCCAUUAGCCUAGUCUUUCCGUUAAUUCCGGAUCUCGUCGCAUUUUUUUUUGUAAUUACCGGUAAUUCGGUGAAAUAUAUUCCAGUCGAUACGUA